ACUCCUACGGGAGGCAGCAGUGGGGAAUAUUGGACAAUGGGCGCAAGCCUGAUCCAGCCAUGCCGCGUGAGUGAUGAAGGCCCUAGGGUUGUAAAGCUCUUUCACCGGUGAAGAUAAUGACGGUAACCGGAGAAGAAGCCCCGGCUAACUUCGUGCCAGCAGCCGCGGUAAUACGAAGGGGGCUAGCGUUGUUCGGAUUUACUGGGCGUAAAGCGCACGUAGGCGGACUAUUAAGUCAGGGGUGAAAUCCCGGGGCUCAACCCCGGAACUGCCUUUGAUACUGGUAGUCUUGAGUUCGAGAGAGGUGAGUGGAAUUCCGAGUGUAGAGGUGAAAUUCGUAGAUAUUCGGAGGAACACCAGUGGCGAAGGCGGCUCACUGGCUCGAUACUGACGCUGAGGUGCGAAAGCGUGGGGAGCAAACAGGAUUAGAUACCCCAGUAGUCCCAU
rnacentral:rRNA from 1 species